AACGAACGCUGGCGGCAUGCCUAACACAUGCAAGUCGAACGAGACCUUCGGGUCUAGUGGCGCACGGGUGCGUAACGCGUGGGAACCUGCCCUUAGGUUCGGAAUAACUCCCCGAAAGGGGUGCUAAUACCGGAUAAUGUCUUCGGACCAAAGAUUUAUCGCCUUUGGAUGGGCCCGCGUUGGAUUAGCUAGUUGGUAGGGUAAAAGCCUACCAAGGCGACGAUCCAUAGCUGGUCUGAGAGGAUGAUCAGCCACACUGGGACUGAGACACGGCCCAGACUCCUACGGGAGGCAGCAGUGGGGAAUAUUGGACAAUGGGCGAAAGACUGAUCCAGCAAUGCCGCGUGAGUGAUGAAGGCCUUAGGGUUGUAAAGCUCUUUUACCCGGGAUGAUAAUGACAGUACCGGGAGAAUAAGCUCCGGCUAACUACGUG
rnacentral:rRNA from 1 species